CAUUAUNNGAAAUAAACCUGAUAAGUUGUUGCUGGCUCUCUAGGGAGCAUGUGCACACUUGUCAUCUUUGUAUCUUCACCUGUGCAUCUUUUGUAGACUUGAGUAUCUCUCUGAAUGCUUUUUGCACUCAGGAUUGAGGAUUGACUUUCCGUCUCUUCUUAUAUUUUCAUGGUCUAUGUUUCUUCAUAUACCCUAAUGUAUGUUUAAGAAUGUAAUUAAUGGGCCCUAGUGCCUAUAAAGUCUAUACAACUUUCAGCAACGGAUCUCUUGGCUCUCGCAUCGAUGAAGAACGCAGCGAAAUGCGAUAAGUAAUGUGAAUUGCAGAAUUCAGUGAAUCAUCGAAUCUUUGAACGCACCUUGCGCUCCUUGGUAUUCCGAGGAGCAUGCCUGUUUGAGUGUCAUUAAUAUAUAUCAACCUUUGGUUGGAUGUGGGUUUGCUGGCCUCUCAAGGUCAGCUCCCCUUAAAUGCAUUAGCGGACAAUAUUUUGCCAACUGUUCAUUGGUGUGAUAAUUUAUCUACACUAUUGACAAUGAUGCAAUGUUCAGCUYCUAACAGUCCAUUGACUUGGACAGAUUAAUUUUAUUAAUGUGACCUCAAAUCAGGUAGGACUACCCGCUGAACUUAAGCAUA
rnacentral:rRNA from 1 species